AUGAAAGGUUUGGUCAGAAAAGGAGGCUGGGGUAAAACAGCAUCUAUUCUGUCAUUUGAAGAAUGGGAAGGAUUUUGCUAGAACAAGAGAGGGUGGGAAAAUAAGAAAGGAAAAUAGAACAUUUUAGGGAAAGGGAAUAGUGUGUGCAAAGAUGAAGAAGUAUAAAAGAAAACAUAGCUUAUUCCAGAAACUGCUAAAAGGAUCAAUAUGCUGUCGUGUCAUGAGAGAGCCACGAUUCUUCAAACAUAUUUAACUGCUGGAGGGAAUGGCUCAGAAUCCCAAGUAUCAGCUUCAGCACACAUCUUUUCUUGGCCCUUGACAGAAGAAGCAGAGUAACUUUUCUUAGGUGGCAUAAUUCUUCAAAAUGUGUUCAUUUUGAAGAACAGGGGUGAUGGAUGGUAAUACACAGGCAGGG